rnacentral:tRNA from 1 species
ACGGAAGUGUGCCUGAACUAAAGGGCUACUUUGAUAGAAUAGACAACAGAGGUUAAAAUCCUCUCGCUUCC